rnacentral:rRNA from 3 species
AAAUUGAAGAGUUUGAUCAUGGCUCAGAUUGAACGCUGGCGGCAGGCCUAACACAUGCAAGUCGAACGGUAACAGGAAGCAGCUUGCUGCUUCGCUGACGAGUGGCGGACGGGUGAGUAAUGUCUGGGAAACUGCCUGAUGGAGGGGGAUAACUACUGGAAACGGUGGCUAAUACCGCAUAACGUCGCAAGACCAAAGAGGGGGACCUUCGGGCCUCUUGCCAUCAGAUGUGCCCAGAUGGGAUUAGCUAG